UUAUAUGGAUGCUGUGGUUUCUUUGGUUACGUUGAUGCUGGACACAGGAUUGCCCUGUUUCCGGGGACAGACCAUCAAACUCUUGAAGAACAGGUUCAGCCCCAACAUGACUGAGCGAGAAGCUGCCAACUUCAUCAUGAAGAUCAUUCAGAAUUGCUUCCUCAGCAACAGGAGCAAGACCUACGAUAUGAUCCAGUACUACCAAAACGAUAUUCCUUACUAAAACAGUGGGGAGAAACACCACAAUCGCGUCCCCUUCCUCCCAGCCUUGAAAUGUGAAUUUCUGAGAUCGUUGUCUCCCAUUCUUUGAAGCAAGCCCUGUGUGCGUGCGCCCGCGUUUGCAUGCCAAGCUGGGUGUCGUCCCCCCUGUGGUAGCAGAUGCCGCAACAAUCAACCAACAUCUUAGCUCGCGCCUUUCGUCUUUGCUGGGAUCCUCACGUGGCGUAGCCGUGAUCUAGAAAUUAGCCGUCGUCAUAGACUCUUAAAAAAUCUUGUUGCACUUGUGAAGACGGGCAAAUUUGAAACCUUCGGUGGAUGUCGGGCAAAGUCUCCCCCACCCCUUCUUGGCAUGUCUCAAAGCCAGAAUCUUUUGACGUGGUUCUUCUAGAGCAGGGGUCGACAACCUUAAACACUCAAAGAGCCACAAAGGUCCUAACUGAAAGCCUCCUGUUCAGU